ACUCCUACGGGAGGCAGCAGUGGGGAAUAUUGCACAAUGGGCGCAAGCCUGAUGCAGCCAUGCCGCGUGUAUGAAGAAGGCCUUCGGGUUGUAAAGUACUUUCAGCAGUGAGGAAGGUGGAGUCGUUAAUAGCGGCCUCAUUUGACGUUAGCUGCAGAAGAAGCACCGGCUAACUCCGUGCCAGCAGCCGCGGUAAUACGGAGGGUGCGAGCGUUAAUCGGAAUUACUGGGCGUAAAGCGCAUGCAGGUGGUUUGUUAAGUCAGAUGUGAAAGCCCGGGGCUCAACCUCGGAAUUGCAUUUGAAACUGGCAGACUAGAGUACUGUAGAGGGGGGUAGAAUUUCAGGUGUAGCGGUGAAAUGCGUAGAGAUCUGAAGGAAUACCAGUGGCGAAGGCGGCCCCCUGGACAAAGACUGACGCUCAGAUGCGAAAGCUGGGGAGCAAACAGGAUUAGAUACCCUGGUAGGAUAGCG
rnacentral:rRNA from 1 species